rnacentral:rRNA from 1 species
UACAGAGGGUGCUAGCGUUGUUCGGAAUCAUUGGGCGUAAAGCGCGUGUAGGCGGCUCGGUAAGUCCGCUCUGAAAGUCCGGGGCUCAACCCCGGGAGGCGGGUGGAUACUGUCGAGCUAGAGUCCGGAAGAGGCGAGUGGAAUUCCUGGUGUAGCGGUGAAAUGCGCAGAUAUCAGGAGGAACACCAGUGGCGAAGGCAGCUCGUGGGACGUACUGACGCUGAGACGACGAAGCGUGGGGAGCAAACAGG